GACGAACGCUGGCGGCGUGCCUAAUACAUGCAAGUUGAGCGCUGAAGGUUGGUACUUGUACCGACUGGAUGAGCAGCGAACGGGUGAGUAACGCGUGGGGAAUCUGCCUUUGAGCGGGGGACAACAUUUGGAAACGAAUGCUAAUACCGCAUAAAAACUUUAAACACAAGUUUUAAGUUUGAACGAUGCAAUUGCAUCACUCAAAGAUGAUCCCGCGUUGUAUUAGCUAGUUGGUGAGGUAAAGGCUCACCAAGGCGAUGAUACAUAGCCGACCUGAGAGGGUGAUCGGCCACAUUGGGACUGAGACACGGCCCAAACUCCUACGGGAGGCAGCAGUAGGGAAUCUUCGGCAAUGGACGAAAGUCUGACCGAGCAACGCCGCGUGAGUGAAGAAGGUUUUCGGAUCGUAAAACUCUGUUGGUAGAGAAGAACGUUGGUGAGAGUGGAAAGCUCAUCAAGUGACGGUAACUACCCAGAAAGGGACGGCUAACUACGUG
rnacentral:rRNA from 1 species